GUGCGCUUUGCCUGUGUCUUUGAGACCAGUGCCCUGGUCCCCAGGACAGCAUCAAAGGCCCUCCAGUAAGAGAUGCUCUCAGGAGGCUGCAGGAAAUACCACGGCCAAAGCGAGGUGGCGCAGGAGGGCGGCUCCGCAGGAUGUGCAAACAGCGCCGCUGGUGGAGAAGACCAGGGGAGAUGGCUGGGACCCGUGCUGUGACCCCGGGUCACCGACGCGGUGGAUGUACAGAGGACAAAAUGAGACGUCUGUGCUGCUUGGAAAACGUGAGGGCUGAUUCCAAAGCUGAGGUAGUACUUACCAUCGUGGGAUGGCCCACAAACGCUGACAGCGGUAGCAGGGUCUCAGUGUGACAUGCGGGACGUCACCGGUCAGUAUUUUAGCCUCUGUUUGCCCUCCCAGGACAUAGACACUUCUUACUCCACUGGCUUAUAAAGAUUGAGGAAGUGUAAUCAUUUACAAACAAAACAAAGUCUAAGCUAAUUAAAACAUUUAUU